rnacentral:rRNA from 1 species
CCUACGGGUGGCAGCAGUGGGGAAUAUUGCACAAUGGGGGAAACCCUGAUGCAGCGACGCCGCGUGAGUGAAGACGUACUUCGGUAUGUAAAGCUCUGUCAGCAGGGAAGAAAAUGACGGUACCUGACCACGAAGCGCCGGCUAACUACGUGCCAGCAGCCGCGGUAAUACGUAGGGGGCAAGCGUUAUCCGGGUUUACUGGGGGUAAAGGGAGCGUAGAGGGGAGGGCAAGUCUGGAGUGAAAGGCGGGGGCUUAACCCCCGGACUGCUGUGGAAACUGCCAGGCUGGAGUGAAGGAGAGGUAUGUGGAAUGCCUGGUGUAGCGGUGAAAUGCAUAGAUAUUACGAAGAACCCCAAUGGCGAAGGCAGCUUACUGGAGUGUAACUGACGUUGAGGCUCGAAAGCGUGGGGAGCGAACAGGAUUAGAUACCCCGGUAGUC